rnacentral:rRNA from 1 species
UAGGGAAUCUUCGGCAAUGGGGGGAACCCUGACCGAGCAACGCCGCGUGAGUGAAGAAGGUUUUCGGAUCGUAAAGCUCUGUUGUUAAGGAAGAACGAGUGUGAGAAUGGAAAGUUCAUACUGUGACGGUACUUAACCAGAAAGGGACGGCUAACUACGUGCCAGCAGCCGCGGUAAUACGUAGGUCCCGAGCGUUGUCCGGAUUUAUUGGGCGUAAAGCGAGCGCAGGCGGUUAGAUAAGUCUGAAGUUAAAGGCAGUGGCUCAGCCAUUGUAGGCUUUGGAAACUGUUUAACUUGAGUGCAGAAGGGGAGAGUGGAAUUCCAUGUGUAGCGGUGAAAUGCGUAGAUAUAUGGAGGAACACCGGUGGCGAAAGCGGCUCUCUGGUCUGUAACUGACGCUGAGGCUCGAAAGCGUGGGGAGCGAACAGG